UACAGAGGGGGCAAGCGUUAUUCGGAAUUAUUGGGCGUAAAUCGCGCGCAGGCGGUUUCUUAAGUCUGAUGUGAAAGCCCACGGCUCAACCGUGGAGGGUCAUUGGAAACUGGGGAACUUGAGUGCAGAAGAGAAAAGCGGAAUUCCACGUGUAGCGGUGAAAUGCGUAGAGAUGUGGAGGAACACCAGUGGCGAAGGCGGCUUUUUGGUCUGUAACUGACGCUGAGGCGCGAAAGCGUGGGGAGCAAACAGG
rnacentral:rRNA from 1 species